CUGGCGGCGUGCUUAACACAUGCAAAUCNAACGAUGAAGCCGCUUCGGUGGUGGAUUASUGGCGAACGGGUGAGUAACACGUGGGCAAUCUGCCCUGCACUCUGGGACAAGCCCUGGAAACGGGGUCUAAUACCGGAUAUGACCUGGUGAGGCAUCUCAUCGGGUGGAAAGCUCCGGCGGUGCAGGAUGAGCCCGCGGCCUAUCAGCUUGUUGGUGGGGUGAUGGCCUACCAAGGCGACGACGGGUAGCCGGCCUGAGAGGGCGACCGGCCACACUGGGACUGAGACACGGCCCAGACUCCUACGGGAGGCAGCAGUGGGGAAUAUUGCACAAUGGGCGAAAGCCUGAUGCAGCGACGCCGCGUGAGGGAUGACGGCCUUCGGGUUGUAAACCUCUUUCAGCAGGGAAGAAGCGAGAGUGACGGUACCUGCAGAAGAAGCGCCGGCUAACUACGUGCCAGCAGCCGCGGUAAUACGUAGGGCGCAAGCGUUGUCCGGAAUUAUUGGGCGUAAAGAGCUCGUGGGCGGCUUGUCACGUCGGAUGUGAAAGCCCGGGGCUUAACCCCGGGUCUGCAUUCGAUACGGGCAGGCUAGAGUUCGGUAGGGGAGAUCGGAAUUCCUGGUGUAGCGGUGAAACGCGCAGAUAUCAGGAGGAA
rnacentral:rRNA from 1 species